rnacentral:rRNA from 1 species
GACGAACGCUGGCGGCGUGCUUAACGCAUGCAAGUCGAACGGAAAGGCCCUGCUUUUGUGGGGUGCUCGAGUGGCGAACGGGUGAGUAACACGUGAGUAACCUGCCCUUGACUUUGGGAUAACUUCAGGAAACUGGGGCUAAUACCGGAUAGGAGCUCCUGCUGCAUGGUGGGGGUUGGAAAGUUUCGGCGGUUGGGGAUGGACUCGCGGCUUAUCAGCUUGUUGGUGGGGUAGUGGCUUACCAAGGCUUUGACGGGUAGCCGGCCUGAGAGGGUGACCGGCCACAUGGGGACUGAGAUACGGACCAGACUGCAACGGGAGGCAGCGGUGGGGAAUAUUGCACAAUGGGCGGAAGCCUGAUGCAGCAGCGCCGCGUGCGGGAUGACGGCCUUCGGGUUGUGAACCGCUUUCGCCUGUGACGAAGCGUGAGUGACGGUAAUGGGUAAAGAAGCACCGGCUAACUACGUG